UGCAAUCCGCCGCCGCCGUCUCCAAGAACAUGGUCGGGGAACUGAAAAACCAAUCCGCUGCCGCCGCCCCCUCAUCCCCGUCUCUCCCAAUCUUUUCCCUCUCUCACAUCCCGACGCUUCCACCGUCGGCCGAUUGAUGAGUGCUUCCCAUUUCUUCCUCGCUCGCGUGGUUCGUGUAUGAUUCAGAGCGUAGCAGGGGAUCAAUGGAUGUAAGGUUCGGCUUCCAAUCCAUCCAGGCCGCCGGCCAGUCCACCGAGGAGAGAGUCCGCGUGAAACCCUAGACGCCGCUCACGUAACAUCUCCGCCGGCUCGCCCACUUCUUGCUCGCCUUAGCUCGCGGGGAUGGAACUGGACGGCGCCGCCCGUCCCCUCGCACCAGGCCCAUGACGAUGGUGCGGUGGACGGCUGGGCGCACGACGGCACGGAGCCCACCUCCCUUACGGCCCCCCGGCAGAGUGCCCCGAGGCCGCAGAUUCUCCUCCCCUCCGCGGCCACGUCUCCGCAGCCGCUCGAGCGCGACCCUCAACUACGACGCGGUGGGAGGAGCCCUGCGACGACAUGCUCCCGUGACCACAACCACUGCGUCCGCAAGAAAGCCGCAUGGAUUGGGGAUAUGUACUUCGGUUUGGGUUCAUCAAAAGGGGCAAUCUUUGAGCAUUUGUAUCAACUGCCGGGGAUCUCAAGUUCACAUGGAGUGCACUAUGAUCAAGUGCAUUCUGGUGCUAUGAUGAUUGUGACAGAAGAUAUUAGCUGCAGAAGCAAUCGCUAUGUCUCAACUCCAAUAUUAAAAAUCAGUGCACCUAAAUUACGACACAAUUUUUCUCAUCUGGAACUGCGCUUAUAAGGUGUUUGGUCUGAAAGCUACACUCCUACAAUGUGGUAUAAAAGGUUCAUGAAAUCAUCAGGAUUUUGACCUCCAUAGGAAAUCUGCAAGGGGAACAACAACAAAGGAAACUGGUGUAAGAUUGAGUACUAAGACUUGAAGAUGGGCUACCAUCAAGAUUAUGUCUUGACAAUCAAGUAUAAUGAUUUUUUUUACCGAACUCACAGAAGUAGAUUGUGUAUCCCAUCCAGCGUUCAACCUAAUGGACAUCGAGGGAACCACUUUGAGUAGGCAAUUGUUUGUGUGGAGGAAAAUGCAUGGUACUACAGCUAACCUUCCUCUGGUCCAGAUGAAAUCAAGGCAACUGGGUCUUUUAUCUUCAAACAUCAAUUUGUUAGUUUUUCCUGGCUUCAGUGCAUCCCCUCAUAUUACUGUGUUUAAACUACAUCACAGUGUGCUAAUUUUUCUAAAAAAGUUAGUGUAUUAAUUAAGUAAAACUUAUUUGAAGUAGAUGUAGCACGACCUUUAGGAUUUUGCACGCGGACCACACCAAUUUCGAGUAGUCUACUUCUACAUAUCUGCUCACCAAAUAGCUGCAUGAUUAUUAUGAACGUGGUAAACUUUGAAGCUAUUUUCUUUAUUAGCCCUAAAAGAAACUAAACUAUUUGUGUGGGGCCAGAGAAGCAUACUUUCAAUACAAACUGCAAUUGCUUGGGCAAGAGAAAUCAACUCAAUACUGCAAUUUUCCAUAUGAAGUAGUAAGAGGAGGCAUACUAUUGUAAACCGAUGUAGGCUGAAGGCUAGCUGCAUCUUUGGCAUGUGGUCAAACCCGGCAAGCUACAACUAUGUGGGCAUCCACACUACUGCCACCACAUGCUUGCUAAAACGCUUAAUCUGGCCGUCCCUGUACAUUGGCCACAUCUCCGGCGAGCAUGUUUGAUGGCAAGCUCGGGCAACUGCUGUUGUAUUGAGUAUCCAGAUGAUAACCGUCAUGAAAAUCACUACAUGGAUCGAUGUGCCCAUCAUGUCCAGUAGUAGAUGAUGCAUUAUUUGAGCUUGAUAUAGUAUGAUUAUAUCCCACGCCGUUUUGUUUGCAUCAAAAGUGUGGCCCACUUUGGAGAAGAAUACACCCAACCAUUUUGGUAGUGGGCAUCUCAACAUUUAUGUUUGGGUCUCAUUCCCCUAAUGCGCUAGUAAUUGUCUCCUUUCCGGUAUUUCUCUUAGUCUCACUUCCAUACUCUUCAUGAUCUGAGAGAGGGAAUGCUAGCAGCCAUGGUGGAAAUGUCCCCUCCCUCCGACUGUUGAUGCAACUUGAGAGGAUGAAGCCUCUAGCGAUAUCGCACGGAAGGCAUCGGCACCAUUGAGUUUGCCACCAUCCUAGCAGCGACAACAAUGCGACAGAGCAUAUAGUGGAGGGUAAAGCAACACGAUCGAGGGAGAUGGCUCAUCAGAAAAAUCCACAACACACGGAUGACCAAUGUAGUAGAGAAGAGGAUGAGUGGGAAUCACUGGGGAAGCCUUAGGGGAUGAGCCAGGUGAGGUAGUCUCUGGUAAUGAAUGAGGUGGGAAAGCCGCAGGUGAUGAUGAGCUUGAUAAAGAAGCCAUUAGAGGUAUAAGAAACCUCAACCCCUAGGAAGUAGCAAAGAGGACCAAGAUCAGACAUAAGAAACCCACUAUGAUGAACCUUCACAAAGGCAAUGUACUUAGUCAUCAUAGUGAUAAUCGACAUAAAGAAGAGUUUGACCAUGAGUUGAAAGGUGGACAAGAAGUGUAGGAUCAUGAGCACUCACCGAAAACUAGUCGCAAUCACCACACAUGUGACUGAGACGAUGAUGCCACAAAGAGUCGGUAGCAAGGUUGUCAGAAUCGCGAUUUUGAAUCGGAUCGGAGCUCUGAUGGUAAGAUCGCAAAUCGUAGAAUCUUCACUAUCAGGAUCGUAGAAACGUAGAUUCUAUGAACUAAAAUCAUAGAAUCAUAGGGGUUAGUUUGGAUCGUAAAGUCGUAGAAUGAUAUAACAGAAUCGUGAUUCUGACAACAUUGGUCGGUAGACAAGGUAAGAGAGUCGAAGAAACUGGUGAAUGUGGUAGCGGAGGGAAGGCGAAGCCUGGCAAGCUUCAAAGGCUGUGCGAGUAACAGUGUCGAGGGCCAACACAAAGUAGAGCACUUGUGUGCCGAUCCUAAAUUAGAAAAAGAGUCAAAGUCAAGAAGAUUGGAGUAAUAGAAAUAUUGUUUGUGUUAGGUUCAAUGAUAUAUCUGCUUGGAUUCUAGGUUGGAGUUAAACUUGAGAAUCGACAGUUGGAUUUGUGAUAUUUUGACAUGAGCUUGAAAAUGGAGAACUUUAGCGUGUAGCAUUAUCAACCUAAGAUGUAUUGGAUAUAUAUAGGUAUAGUAUGAUUAGCAUGAAUGCGGUAUUGGUGGACUAUUGGAUGGUCUUGGAUAUUACUAGUUGGAUUCUAGGUUGGAGAUAACUUAGAGCACUUGGAUUUGUGAUAUUUUCACCUAAGCUUAGUAGCUUGUAUGUUCCCCAUAUGAAUAUGAGCAUCGUGAUGAUUUUGCUAGCCCUCCCUAAGAAUGUUACGGGUACAAGAUCAUGGGAGGAUGAUUUGGAUUAAUUAGAACAGAUGACAAUUUCAGUGGUAUGAGCCUUGUUGGAGCAGUUGAUCUUGCUUUUAUUAUGUGUUUGUGCUCCUUUAGGUGCAGUAGUAGGAGAAGGGUAGUACUUAUGAAGUGAUAUUAUAUUGAUGGAUGAAUAAAUCUUUAAUAACCUUGGAAUAGUUUGGAUUUAUUUAGAUGAUUAUGAUCUUGAAAAAAAA